rnacentral:rRNA from 1 species
CGGCGGACGGGUGAGUAAUGCCUAGGAAUCUGCCUGGUAGUGGGGGACAACGUUUCGAAAGGAACGCUAAUACCGCAUACGUCCUACGGGAGAAAGCAGGGGACCUUCGGGCCUUGCGCUAUCAGAUGAGCCUAGGUCGGAUUAGCUAGUUGGUGAGGUAAUGGCUCACCAAGGCGACGAUGCGUAGCCGACCUGAGAGGGUGAUCGGCCACACUGGGACUGAGACACGGUCCAG